GGCAAGCCGGGCCUGAAACCUCUGAGACCAUGAACCAAGGCAAACUUUUCUUCCUUUCAGAUUGUUCGACUCGGGUGUUUCCUUACCACACAGAAAGCUGACUGGUGAUGGGGAGAGGGGAGGAGAGGAUCUGAAGAAGGAAGGCAGGAUGGGAGAUGCCAGUGGAAGACUCUACCGGAGCCCGAAUGUAGGUAUAUCAUGCAUGCCAGGAAAGCACUCUGCACCAAACUACAGACCCAGCCCUCAAAUGAGCUGAAUUCAAAUCCCAAUUCUCUUCUUCCCAGACAUCUUAGGACAUGGUGCAUGAUAGCUCUGUGACUCAGUUUCUUCAUCUGUAAUGUAGGGGUGAAAUAAAAUGUGCCCACUCACAAAGUCAUUGAAAGAAUGACAAGUUGUAAAGCGUUCAUACAGGACCUGGCACAGCACAGCAGAGCGACACAGCAAAGGAGCAUCCUCAUCCAAGGAGCAUCCUCAUCCAAGGGGCAUCCUCAUCCAAGGGGCAUCCUCAUCCAAGGAGCAUCCUCAUCCAAGGAGCAUCCUCGUCCAAGGAGCAUCCUCAUCCAAGGAGCAUCCUCGUCCAAGGAGCAUCCUCAUCCAAGGAGCAUCCUCAUCCAAGGAGCAUCCUCAUCCAAGGAGCAUCCUCAUCCAAGGAGCAUCCUCAUCCAAGGGUGCAGUUGAAUGUGGGAAAAGGAUGCUUGCGGGCAUUUUUUGUUUUUGUUUCACCUCCAGCUGUGAGCAUUGGCUGGCUACCCAAGGAGCUGUGGAAUCUCUCUUUCUUCUUCCACAGGGUCCGCCCUCCCCGGCACUCUUCGGGCCGGGUUUAAUCACCCUAAGCUUCACAUGGCAGAGAAAAAUAAACUCACAUCCAAGUUUCUGAUUCAGUCCUGGGAAAAAAGCCAUCUGCAAGCACACCUUCAGUGUCAAGGUCGCUGCUUAUCUUAUCAGUAAAAAUGCCAUAAAACUGCGCGGCAAACCUUGACUCAUAGUCAAAGAUAGUCCUCAUAACCUGGAGGGGUGGCUUGCUUUAUGCCUUGAGAGCAAAGAUUAAAGGAAUCAUUUUUGUUCCGGGAAAGCAGAUGAUGCUUUGGCAAGCAAUGAGGAUGAGGAGCACUAAACUUCUGUAAGCAUGGCGGGGACAUGACAAGGAAAGAGACGUACAGGAGGGAGCCAUGGGGGCGGGUUUCCAUACAGGCACGAGACCGGCCACCCUCAACUCCUUCCGGGAUCCAGUCUGAGAAGACACGCCAUGUGGCAGUUCGCUUGUUUCUAGAACUCCACAGAAUCUUCCAGGGCGGUUUCUAUUAUUUUGUCCUUUUUUUUUUUUUUUUUUUAAUCAGAGCUGAGGACCGAACCCAGGGUCUUGCGCUUGCUAGGCAAGCACUCUAUCACUGAACUAAAUCUGAUAUUCGGCACAGAAUCAUCUCCAUCACAGAAAGACAGGUUAUUUUUUUUUCUUUUCAAUGUUGGGAACCAAACUAAGAACCCUGUACCUGUUAGGCAAGUACUCUAUCAGUGCUUUACGUCCUCAGAUCCCUGCCUCCACUGUCUUUUCUUCUCCG